rnacentral:lncRNA from 1 species
CUCUGUACUGGAACUUGGAUCAAGUGGACACAGCCCUGAGGAUGGCAUCCCAGCAAUGUCCACUUGCUGGAACUGAGAUGAUUUAACAGAUGAAGAACAAGGAGUAUGAAGAGUUGUGUCCACAGAAGAACAAAGAACAAGUCAGCAAGAAAGCAAAGGAGACAGCCAGAGGCAAACUUCCUUAGUGAGAGAAGUCUUAGGAUAAAGCCUGACAUGGUUCAGCUGCAAAAGAUAUGCUCUACUGUGCUGAGAAGAAAGAACAAACUUCUAUGAGAAAUGAGACAUUUCCAACAAUGGAAAGUUUCACAAGAGGUACACCCACAAGAGAGCAAGAAGGAAGGAGAAUAUUCCAAAUACAACUUUUGCAAGCAAAAAAGAGAACUAAACAAGAUACUGAUGGAUACCUCUCUGUUGCUGGCACUGGAAGAGUGUGA